GGUUGUGAAAGCCCGGGGCUUAACCCCGGGUCUGCAGUCGAUACGGGCAGGCUAGAGUUCGGUAGGGGAGAUCGGAAUUCCUGGUGUAGCGGUGAAAUGCGCAGAUAUCAGGAGGAACACCGGGUGGCGAAGGCGGAUCUCUGGGGCCGAUACUGACCGCUGAGGAGCGAAAGCGUGGGGGAGCGAACAGGAUUUAGAUACCCUGGGUAGUCCACGCCGUAAACGGUGGGCACUAGGUGUGGGCAACAUUCCACGUUGUCCGUGCCGCAGCUAACGCAUUAAGUGCCCCGCCUGGGGAGUACGGCCGCAAGGCUAAAACUCAAAGGAAUUGACGGGGGCCCGCACAAGCGGCGGAGCAUGUGGCUUAAUUCGACGCAACGCGAAGAACCUUACCAAGGCUUGACAUACACCGGA
rnacentral:rRNA from 1 species